GCUUGGUGACUAUGCCGCGGGGGAAACACCUCUUCCCAUUCCGAACAGAGAAGUUAAGCCCCGCAGGGCCGAUGGUACUGCACGGGCAACCGUGUGGGAGAGUAGGUCGUUGCCAAGC
rnacentral:rRNA from 1 species